rnacentral:piRNA from 1 species
CAGCAGAAAAGUCGUUGAUGUUGGACGUU